AGUGAACGCUGGCGGUAGGCCUAACACAUGCAAGUCGAACGGCAGCACAGUAAGAGCUUGCUCUUACGGGUGGCGAGUGGCGGACGGGUGAGGAAUACAUCGGAAUCUACUUUUUCGUGGGGGAUAACGUAGGGAAACUUACGCUAAUACCGCAUACGACCUACGGGUGAAAGCAGGGGAUCUUCGGACCUUGCGCGAUUGAAUGAGCCGAUGUCGGAUUAGCUAGUUGGCGGGGUAAAGGCCCACCAAGGCGACGAUCCGUAGCUGGUCUGAGAGGAUGAUCAGCCACACUGGAACUGAGACACGGUCCAGACUCCUACGGGAGGCAGCAGUGGGGAAUAUUGGACAAUGGGCGCAAGCCUGAUCCAGCCAUACCGCGUGGGUGAAGAAGGCAUUCGGGUUGUAAAGCCCUUUUGUUGGGAAAGAAAAGCAGCAGGUUAAUACCCCGCUGUCCUGACGGUACCCAAAGAAUAAGCACCGGCUAACUUCGUG
rnacentral:rRNA from 1 species